UGACGCGUUGUGAUGUGAUGUUCCUUUGUGUUGAAUUGCACAAUGGGAUGAUUACGAAUGAAGCGCUCUCUGUUUGGUGCAGCGUUUGUGCUUCAUCGUGCUAUCAAUUCAACCGGCACGUUAUUACUGUUUCCGAAGCAUCUUCACGAGAAAAAUGAUUUCCUCAUCAACUCGGCCGGCAUUUUGAGACCCACCCAGCAACCGCGGGGCGUUAGUCUCCUCCUCUCCCACUGGUAUAUCUGUGCAGGUGAGACUUUUUCCCUCUUACACUGCCACUCGGGUUCCGUUGGCAGGAAGCGAAAAAGUGGGGAGUUGACCAAGCAGAGAAAGGUAACACCAGAAGGAGAGAGAGCUCAUUCACUUGAACCGCAGCUGGCGAAGGUAGAACCAUCCACAAGGAGCACCGCAGGACGCGACCGCUUUGCAGGACAGAGAGCUCUCUCCCUUUCUGCCGACCUAAUAAUGGCCUGCACUACUUUCAUAAAGGACACAGGUUGGAGAGGAACCCUGAGCCUCCUCCUGUUAGGAUUACUUCUACACUCAGUAAUAGUGUCAGGUCAAAACAACAUGACCAGCACCACUAUGAUGCCGAACACCACCACCACCGCCACACAAAGCACAGAACCCAGCACCGCCACCACCACGUCUACCGCAAGCGCACCCACAUCAACGUCAACCACGAUCCCGACCACCAGUGCCAGUACAGCGGCGCCCGCCACCCAGUCUGCCGCCUCCACCGCCUCUGGAGCUACGACAUAUACCGGCACCACCCAGUCUUCUUACAUCCGGGAGCUCAGCAUCAGCAGCCACAGCAGCUACUUCCACCGGGUCGACCAUGACCACCUCUGGAGGCCAGGCCACACCCACCUCUGUCACCACCCAGCCGCCCACAACCACAGCAACCUCUGGAGGCAUUGCAUCCACCACAACCAACCAGUCUCUUACAAUUAUGACCACCUCUGGAGGCACAGCAACCUCUACUCCCACCCAGUCGCCCACAGCAACCUCUGGAGGCAUUGCAUCCACCACAACCAACCAGUCUCUUACAAAUAUGACCACCUCUGGAGGCGCAGCAACCUUUACUCCCACCCGGUCGCCCACAGCCACCUCUGGAGGCAUUGCAUCCACCACAACCACCCAUUUACAUUUCUGCAUCUUACAACUUGUAUCCCCACUUGUAACUCAAUCACAACCAGCAUUAAUAAUGCAUGUGCAUCCUCUGCCUCUACAGCCAUGACGCAGUACACCUCCGCCAUGCCCACAAACUGUUCCGUGGUCACAAUGAUGUCCAACAGUUCGUCAUCAAACUACACUGACAAACCUGUUAUGAAUGGGACCAUGAUGAUUUCCUUGCCCUGCAUUUACCUGUAACCACUCUACCUGCUACACAAUGUUCACCAGUCAGAAUGCCACUCCAUGCGGGGCUGGAGUCUGCUUUUGUCAGCUGACUAGACAGAUGGACAUGUGGUACACGGCCAACUGCACCACCUCCUGCGCUGCUCCUUGCGCCAACUCCUCUGACACCAACUGCUCUGUGGUGUGCUGCUACUCCCCCGACUGCCUCAAUCGCAGUUUCACAUCGAUGAUGAUGAAGACCACGGUAGCGCCAACAACAACCACUACAGCGACGACGACGGCGACUCCUCAAACCACCAACAAUGCAAACCAAUGCCACACAGGCACGUGUAUCGGUAUCAAUUGCUACACCAAAUUUGCAGAUGCCGAAAAGUGCUCCUCUUCACAGCCACACUGUCAGCUUAAACAGGAGACCGUGGCCGGCGGUUUGCAGUGGACGGCCGGUUGCUCCACCAACUGCUCCACCCAGACCCCAUGCAAGACCUCCACCCAACCUCCGUGCCAUCUGGAGUGCUGCAACGCCACAAAAACCUCCUGCCUCUGGCGGAACGGCACGCUGCACGUCCCCAAUUUCGCCCCGGGAGGACCUCGUCAUCACACGGAGUUGAUCGCAAUCUUACUGUGCCUGCUCGCCAUCGCUUGGGUCAAUGAGUGAUUGAGGGGGGGGGGGGGGCAGAGCUCCGUGCCACUCUCAGUCCCCCCAGGUAACGGAAAAAAGAAAGAAAGAAGCGUAGCUGUGCACACGUUAACACCAUUACACCCAUUUCUAUCGCUGACAUUCCGAUUUCUAAUGUUUCUAUGUGUGUGUGAUUUAAGUAGCCCCUCGGUUACAAUGUUCACUCAGUUUAUUUUUAUAUUAAAAUGUCCCGAUUUACACUUUGGUUCAAGAGCAUCAACAGUGUCUUUGAACAGUAUUUCUAAAUAUAGGAAAUCAAGAAAGGAAGAAAAGUGUGUCGUCACACCACUUUACAUUUUUAUAACUGACAAAAGUAUACAUUCAAAUAAAUAUCCUUCUCUGUGAAAUGUAAAGAAAUAAUUUAGAUUUCCUUGAACAAUUACCUUGUAAAAUCAUGUAAAACGCAUGUAAAAUCCUAUACUAUAAUCAUAUACUUCUUAACGGAAGCCAAAUCAUUUUCUGUUUGAUGCCUGCUCACAUUAAACUGAUUGCGAACCCAUUUGUAUUUUGGAAGGCUGGGUGAGCCUAAACAAAACAUAUUAUGUUGACAUAGUUACAAAAUAUCUUACUUACAAAACCUCUCUGCGGAUAAUCAUUUCUUUGAGCCAUUGUGAGAGUGACGCAGCUGUAACUCUAAAUGCACUUUAUGAAACACAAAUUUAAAGCUGAUAAAGGGUGUUGUGAAGUUUGCUUACGCAUUUCUGUAAAUGUAGUCAUACUUUGUAAUUUGGUACUUUUGGCUAAUCUUUGUCUAAUAGUUUGUGAAUAGUUCCUUGGAUCUCAACUGUCUGGUUUACCGAGCAUAUUUAAGGGGUAAUAGGUUGUGUAAAUAUUCAAUUUAAUCAAAAUUGUUACAAUUGAUUCUAGUUUUGUGAUGAAAUAAAUCUAAUAAACUACACGUCAGAGGAA